rnacentral:rRNA from 1 species
GGUUAAGUGACUAAGCGUACACGGUGGAUGCCUAGGCAGUCAGAGGCGAUGAAGGGCGUGCUAAUCUGCGAAAAGCGUCGGUAAGGUGAUAUGAACCGUUACAACCGGCGAUACCCGAAUGGGGAAACCCAGUGUGUUUCGACACACUAUCAUGUCAUGAAUACAUAGUGGCAUGAGGCGAACCGGGGGAACUGAAACAUCUAAGUACCCCGAGGAAAAGAAAUCAACCGAGAUUCCCCCAGUAGCGGCGAGCGAACGGGGAGGAGCCCAGAACCUGAAUCGGCUUGUGUGUUAGUGGAAGCGUCUGGAAAGUCGCGCAGCAAAGGGUGAUAGCCCCGUACACUAAAAUGCACAGGUCGUGAGUUCGAUGAGUAGGGCGGGACACGUGACAUCCUGUCUGAAUAUGGGGGGACCAUCCUCCAAGGCUAAAUACUCCUGACUGACCGAUAGUGAACCAGUACCGUGAGGGAAAGGCGAAAAGAACCCCGGCGAGGGGAGUGAAAUAGAACCUGAAACCGUGUACGUACAAGCAGUGGGAGCACCUUCGUGGUGUGACUGCGUACCUUUUGUAUAAUGGGUCAGCGACUUAUAUUUUGUAGCAAGGUUAACCGUAUAGGGGAGCCGUAGGGAAACCGAGUCUUAACUGGGCGAAUAGUUGCAAGGUAUAGACCCGAAACCCGGUGAUCUAGCCAUGGGCAGGUUGAAGGUUGGGUAACACUAACUGGAGGACCGAACCGACUAAUGUUGAAAAAUUAGCGGAUGACUUGUGGCUGGGGGUGAAAGGCCAAUCAAACCGGGAGAUAGCUGGUUCUCCCCGAAAGCUAUUUAGGUAGCGCCUCGUGAACUCAUCUUCGGGGGUAGAGCACUGUUUCGGCUAGGGGGCCAUCCCGGCUUACCAAACCGAUGCAAACUCCGAAUACCGAAGAAUGUUAUCACGGGAGACACACGGCGGGUGCUAACGUCCGUCGUGAAGAGGGAAACAACCCAGACCGCCAGCUAAGGUCCCAAAGUCAUGGUUAAGUGGGAAACGAUGUGGGAAGGCAUAGACAGCCAGGAUGUUGGCUUAGAAGCAGCCAUCAUUUAAAGAAAGCGUAAUAGCUCACUGGUCGAGUCGGCCUGCGCGGAAGAUGUAACGGGGCUAAACCAUGCACCGAAGCUGCGGCAGCGACGCUUAGGCGUUGUUGGGUAGGGGAGCGUUCUGUAAGCCGUUGAAGGUGGCCUGUGAGGGUUGCUGGAGGUAUCAGAAGUGCGAAUGCUGACAUAAGUAACGAUAAAGCGGGUGAAAAGCCCGCUCGCCGGAAGACCAAGGGUUCCUGUCCAACGUUAAUCGGGGCAGGGUGAGUCGACCCCUAAGGCGAGGCUGAAAAGCGUAGUCGAUGGGAAACAGGUUAAUAUUCCUGUACUUGGUGUUACUGCGAAGGGGGGACGGAGAAGGCUAGGCUAGCCGGGCGACGGUUGUCCCGGUUUAAGCGUGUAGGGGGUGUGACCUGGUAAAUCCGGUUGCAUAUCAACCCUGAGGCGUGAUGACGAUGCACUACGGUGCAGAAGUAGUUGAUGCCCUGCUUCCAGGAAAAGCCUCUAAGCUCUAGGUAACAUUGAAUCGUACCCCAAACCGACACAGGUGGUCAGGUAGAGAAUACCAAGGCGCUUGAGAGAACUCGGGUGAAGGAACUAGGCAAAAUGGUGCCGUAACUUCGGGAGAAGGCACGCUGGCAUGUAGGUGAAGUCCCUUGCGGAUGGAGCUGAAGCCAGUCGAAGAUACCAGCUGGCUGCAACUGUUUAAUAAAAACACAGCACUGUGCAAACACGAAAGUGGACGUAUACGGUGUGACGCCUGCCCGGUGCUGGAAGGUUAAUUGAUGGGGUCAGCCGCAAGGCGAAGCUCUUGAUCGAAGCCCCAGUAAACGGCGGCCGUAACUAUAACGGUCCUAAGGUAGCGAAAUUCCUUGUCGGGUAAGUUCCGACCUGCACGAAUGGCGUAAUGAUGGCCAGGCUGUCUCCACCCGAGACUCAGUGAAAUUGAACUCGCUGUGAAGAUGCAGUGUACCCGCGGCAAGACGGAAAGACCCCGUGAACCUUUACUAUAGCUUGACACUGAACAUUGAGCCUUGAUGUGUAGGAUAGGUGGGAGGCUUUGAAGCGUGGACGCCAGUCUGCGUGGAGCCAUCCUUGAAAUACCACCCUUUAAUGUUUGAUGUUCUAACUCGGCCCCAUAAUCUGGGGUGAGGACAGUGUCUGGUGGGUAGUUUGACUGGGGCGGUCUCCUCCCAAAGAGUAACGGAGGAGCACGAAGGUUAGCUAAUCACGGUCGGACAUCGUGAGGUUAGUGCAAAGGCAUAAGCUAGCUUGACUGCGAGAGUGACGGCUCGAGCAGGUACGAAAGUAGGUCUUAGUGAUCCGGUGGUUCUGAAUGGAAGGGCCAUCGCUCAACGGAUAAAAGGUACUCCGGGGAUAACAGGCUGAUACCGCCCAAGAGUUCAUAUCGACGGCGGUGUUUGGCACCUCGAUGUCGGCUCAUCACAUCCUGGGGCUGAAGUAGGUCCCAAGGGUAUGGCUGUUCGCCAUUUAAAGUGGUACGCGAGCUGGGUUUAGAACGUCGUGAGACAGUUCGGUCCCUAUCUGCCGUGGGCGUUGGAAGAUUGAGAGGGGUUGCUCCUAGUACGAGAGGACCGGAGUGAACGCACCACUGGUGUUCGGGUUGUCAUGCCAAUGGCAUUGCCCGGUAGCUAAGUGCGGAAAAGAUAAGCGCUGAAAGCAUCUAAGCGCGAAACUUGCCUCAAGAUGAGUCUUCCCUGGGCCUUUAAGG